rnacentral:tRNA from 1 species
AUUUAUAUAAUUUAAUUAAAAAUAUUGAUUUGUGAAAUCAAAAUUCUAUUAUAAAUUAAUUUAUAAAUA